GAGUUUGAUUAUGGCUCAGGAUGAACGCUAGCGGCAGGCUUAACACAUGCAAGUCGAGGGGCAGCGGGGAGGAAGCUUGCUUUCUCCGCCGGCGACCGGCGCACGGGUGAGUAACACGUAUGCAACCUGCCCCUGUCAGGGGGACAACCCGCCGAAAGGCGGGCUAAACCCGCGUACAUGCCACCGGGGCAUCCCGGAGGCGGGAAAGGCUUCGGCCGGACAGGGAUGGGCAUGCGGCGCAUUAGGCAGUAGGCGGGGUAACGGCCCACCUAACCGACGAUGCGUAGGGGUUCUGAGAGGAAGGUCCCCCACACUGGUACUGAGACACGGACCUGACUCCUACGGGAGGCAGCAGUGAGGAAUAUUGGUCAAUGGUCGGGAGACUGAACCAGCCAAGCCGCGUGAGGGAUGAAGGUACAGAGUAUCGUAAACCUCUUUUGUCAGGGAACAAAGGCGGGGACGUGUCCCCGGAUGAGUGUACCUGAAGAAAAAGCAUCGGCUAACUCCGUGCCAGCAGCCGCGGUAAUACGGAGGAUGCGAGCGUUAUCCGGAUUUAUUGGGUUUAAAGGGUGCGCAGGCGGUCUGUUAAGUCAGCGGUCAAAGCCCGGGGCUCAACCCCGGCCCGCCGUUGAAACUGGCAGUCUCGAGUUGGAGAGAAGUAUGCGGAAUGCGCGGUGUAGCGGUGAAAUGCAUAGAUAUCGCGCAGAACUCCGAUUGCGAAGGCAGCAUGCCGGCUCCACACUGACGCUGAGGCACGAAAGCGUGGGUAUCGAACAGGAUUAGAUACCCUGGUAGUCCACGCAGUAAACGAUGAAUGCUGGCUGUCCGGGGGGACUGACCCCUGGGUGGCGAAGCGAAAGCGAUAAGCAUUCCACCUGGGGAGUACGCCGGCAACGGUGAAACUCAAAGGAAUUGACGGGGGCCCGCACAAGCGGAGGAACAUGUGGUUUAAUUCGAUGAUACGCGAGGAACCUUACCCGGGCUCAAACGGGGAGUGACUCAGGCAGAGACGCCUGUUUCCCACGGGGCACUCCCCGAGGUGCUGCAUGGUUGUCGUCAGCUCGUGCCGUGAGGUGUCGGCUUAAGUGCCAUAACGAGCGCAACCCCCGCGUGCNAGUUGCUAACAGUCAACGCUGAGGACUCUGCACGGACUGCCGGCGCAAGCCGCGAGGAAGGCGGGGAUGACGUCAAAUCAGCACGGCCUUUACGUCCGGGGCGACACACGUGUUACAAUGGGUGGUACAGCGGGAAGCCAGGCGGCGACGCCGAGCGGAACCCGAAAUCCACUCUCAGUUCGGAUCGGAGUCUGCAACCCGACUCCGUGAAGCUGGAUUCGCUAGUAAUCGCGCAUCAGCCAUGGCGCGGUGAAUACGUUCCCGGGUCUUGUACACACCGCCCGUCAAGCCAUGGGAGCCGAGGGCGCUUGAAGUGCGCCGCCGCGAGGCGCGCCCUAGAGCGAAAUCGGUGACUGGGGCUAAGUCGUAACAAGGU
rnacentral:rRNA from 1 species